AAAAAUUUCCCACCUGCCUGAGAAACCUGGAAGCAAAGCCAUUGGGGCAAUGAUAAUAAGACCUCGUGCAGGUGUAUGGUAGGGCGGGCAACCAAAGAGAGAUAGAUAUACAGGAGAGCAAUAGGAAGAAGGUGACACUGCACCCACAGUCCUGACAAGAUUUGUCAUGGACAGGUUGUGGAUCUUAUUAUUUACCUCCACUCUGGUAGCCUAUGGUAUAAAUGGAGGAAUUCCAGGUUCAACAGGUAAAG